UUGUGUCCAUUUUUUAUCUUCUAUAACGCUACUUUUUAAAAAAAGACCACUUUACCCUUUUUCGGAUGUUGAACAUCUGAAUAUGUGGGUUUUUCGGAUGUUCAACAUCCGAAAAUGGGCGCAAGUUAAAACAUUCAAUUUGGUAUUUUCAGAUGUUCAACAUCCGAAUUUAUGGGAUUUCGGGUGUUGAACAUUCGAAAAUAGCCGGGUAGAUAAAAAUUUCAUAUCUUCAUUUUCGAUUGUUGGACAACCGAAAAUAUAUUGAAUUCGGUUGUUCAACAAACGAAAAUUUUCACGCUAAAUUUUCUAGCUCAUGGCAGAAAGUUUAUUUUUUUAUUUUUAUAAAGUUGGGAAAAAUAGACAAAUACAGUAUCUUUCGCGCAUCAUACCCCUUGUAGUGUUCCCUAAUACAGUAACCCACAAAGUUGAAGUGAUUGACUCACUAUUUGGAUGUGAUUGGUACCGUUCAUA
rnacentral:lncRNA from 1 species